GAUACCAUCAUGCUUUUUAGAGGCCUCUGCUCUGCCAGCCUGGGAGUCAUCUUCACCCUCAGGCUGGUAGACUCCAGUCUCUUAGGUCAGAAUGGGAUUAGAGACCCGUUCCUGAACCAGUCACACACAGCGGGUGAAACUGCUAUGAUUGGUUUAGACUUAGAGACUGGAAUGGAUGCUGAUCCUUAGAAUAUACACAAAGUUUUCAUGGACCACACAUUAUGAAACACUGGAUUAGCGCAAAGUGAAAUGCUUCCAGAGUAGGAGCCACUAUUCUGAGGAAUCUUGGAAGAAAAAUCCCCAGAUAGCAGAUGACUGGUAGGAAGAUGAGGCAAGUUUGCGGUCCAUUGUCAUGGAUAGUGGAGACAACACUGGGCCAGAAGUGGUAAGACCUGAAUCCAAGACUCAGCUCUGCCACUUGCUAAAUGGGACUUUGAAUAAACCAUUUCUCUGCACUUAAGUUCCUUACCAACAAAACGAGGGAAGUGGCCUACAUGCCUAGAUAUCAACAUUUCAUGUCACGUAGAGAUCUAGCAUCACAAGAAUCCAAGUCAUCCUCUGUUGCCUUUAAGAAAUUAGAAUUAAAGGAAUCAGAAUUGAAGUGAAUCUGACUACACUAAGCCUAUCACUUGUGACAGCCAUGGGAAGAUAUCAUUGGUUGCUGAGGAGCAGAAAUAAGCAGAGACCUAUUGUGUUAGGUUAUCAUUCAUUUCAGACAAAAAGCAGAUCAGCAAGUUUUCAUAUUGCACUAUUUUCAAUGGCUGGAGCAUCAACAUUUUACAACAAGAAAAAAAUUAAAAUUCUUCAACAUUUGGAAAAGAAGUGUUUGUAAAACUUUUCACAUCCAUUCACCAUCCGGAAAAGCAAGGUUUUACAGUGAGGCCUGAUGAUGUCUAGAGUCACCAUGCAUCUUGGAAAAUGACCUCCUAUUUAUUUCUUCUACAGGACACCAUGGUGUUCACCUUUCUACAACUUUACACUUGCUGAGGACAUAUUGUGGAAAAUUAAGAGAAAUAUAUAUGGAUGGCCAAGGCUGUAGAUGGAUGUCCAAGCCUUUUUACUGGGGAAUGUUUUCAGAACAAAAUGAGUUACAGGUUCAAGAGUGAAACCCAACAAAUCUUGGCUCUUUUUUUCUCUACUAAAUUCCAAAUCAAAAGUA
rnacentral:lncRNA from 1 species